UACGUAGGGGGCAAGCGUUGUCCGGAUUUAUUGGGCGUAAAGAGCGCGCAGGCGGUCGUUCAAGUCGAGUGUGAAAGCCCCCGGCUCAACUGGGGAGGGUCAUUCGAUACUGAUCGACUCGAAGGCAGGAGAGGGAAGUGGAAUUCCCGGUGUAGUGGUGAAAUGCGUAGAUAUCGGGAGGAACACCAGUGGCGAAGGCGACUUCCUGGCCUGUUCUUGACGCUGAGGCGCGAAAGCUAGGGGAGCAAACGGG
rnacentral:rRNA from 1 species